AGAGUUUGAUCAUGGCUCAGAUUGAACGCUGGCGGAAUGCUUUACACAUGCAAGUCGAACGGCAGCACGGGAGCUUGCUCCUGGUGGCGAGUGGCGAACGGGUGAGUAAUGCGUCGGAACGUACCGAGUAAUGGGGGAUAACGCAGCGAAAGCUGUGCUAAUACCGCAUACGCCCUGAGGGGGAAAGUGGGGGAUCGCAAGACCUCACGUUAUUCGAGCGGCCGACGUCUGAUUAGCUAGUUGGUGGGGUAAAGGCCUACCAAGGCGACGAUCAGUAGCGGGUCUGAGAGGAUGAUCCGCCACACUGGAACUGAGACACGGUCCAGACUCCUACGGGAGGCAGCAGUGGGGAAUUUUGGACAAUGGGGGCAACCCUGAUCCAGCCAUUCCGCGUGAGUGAAGAAGGCCUUCGGGUUGUAAAGCUCUUUCAGCUGGAACGAAACGGUACAUCCUAAUACGGUGUGCUAAUGACGGUACCAGCAGAAGAAGCACCGGCUAACUACGUGCCAGCAGCCGCGGUAAUACGUAGGGUGCGAGCGUUAAUCGGAAUUACUGGGCGUAAAGCGUGCGCAGGCGGGAUUGUUAAGCAAGAUGUGAAAUCCCCCGGGCUUAACCUGGGAAUGGCAUUUUGAACUGGCAGUCUAGAGUGUGUCAGAGGGGGGUGGAAUUCCACGUGUAGCGGUGAAAUGCGUAGAGAUGUGGAGGAACACCAAUGGCGAAGGCAGCCCCCUGGGAUAACACUGACGCUCAUGUACGAAAGCGUGGGUAGCAAACAGGAUUAGAUACCCUAGUAGUCC
rnacentral:rRNA from 1 species